CUAAGGUAGCGAAAUUCCUUGUCGGGUAAGUUCCGACCUGCACGAAUGGCGUAAUGAUGGGGGCGCUGUCUCCACCCGAGACUCAGUGAAAUCGAAAUCGCAGUGAAGAUGCUGUGUACCCGCGGCUAGACGGAAAGACCCCGUGAACCUUUACUAUAGCUUCACAGUGGACUUUGAACCUGUUUGUGUAGGAUAGCUGGGAGACUUUGAAGCAGUGACGCUAGUCAUUGUGGAGUCGUCCUUGAAAUACCAGCCUGGCAUGUUUGAGGUUCUAACCUGGGUCCCUUAUCGGGAUCGGGGACAUUGUGUGGUGGGUAGUUUGACUGGGGCGGUCUCCUCCCAAAGAGUAACGGAGGAGCACAAAGGUACCCUCAGCACGGUCGGACAUCGUGCAACGAGCGUAAAGGUAGAAGGGUGCUUGACUGCGAGACUUACAAGUCGAGCAGGUGCGAAAGCAGGUCUUAGUGAUCCGGUGGUUCUGUAUGGAAGGGCCAUCGCUCAACGGAUAAAAGGUACUCCGGGGAUAACAGGCUGAUACCGCCCAAGAGUUCAUAUCGACGGCGGUGUUUGGCACCUCGAUGUCGGCUCAUCACAUCCUGGGGCUGAAGUCGGUCCCAAGGGUAUGGCUGUUCGCCAUUUAAAGUGGUACGCGAGCUGGGUUUAGAACGUCGUGAGACAGUUCGGUCCCUAUCUGCCGUGGGCGUUGGAGAUUUGAGAGGAGCUGCUCCUAGUACGAGAGGACCGGAGUGGACGAACCUCUGGUGUUCCGGUUGUCACGCCAGUGGCAUUGCCGGGUAGCUACGUUCGGACGGGAUAACCGCUGAAAGCAUCUAAGCGGGAAGCCUCCCUCAAGAUGAGAUCUCCCUGGGGGCUUGACCCCCCUGAAGGGCCGUUGAAGACCACAACGUUGAUAGGCUGGGUGUGGAAGCGUUGUAAGGCGUGAAGCUAACCAGUACUAAUUGCCCGUGAGGCUUGACUAU
rnacentral:rRNA from 1 species